GAUGAACGCUGGCGGCGUGCCUAAUACAUGCAAGUCGAGCGAACAGACGAGGAGCUUGCUCCUCUGAUGUUAGCGGCGGACGGGUGAGUAACACGUGGAUAACCUACCUAUAAGACUGGGAUAACUUCGGGAAACCGGAGCUAAUACCGGAUAACAUGUUGAACCGCAUGGUUCAACAGUGAAAGACGGUCUUGCUGUCACUUAUAGAUGGAUCCGCGCCGCAUUAGCUAGUUGGUAAGGUAACGGCUUACCAAGGCAACGAUGCGUAGCCGACCUGAGAGGGUGAUCGGCCACACUGGAACUGAGACACGGUCCAGACUCCUACGGGAGGCAGCAGUAGGGAAUCUUCCGCAAUGGGCGAAAGCCUGACGGAGCAACGCCGCGUGAGUGAAGAAGGUCUUCGGAUCGUAAAACCCUGUUAUUAGGGAAGAACAAAUGUGUAAGUAACUAUGCACGUCUUGACGGUACCUAAUCAGAAAGCCACGGCUAACUACGUG
rnacentral:rRNA from 1 species